UGCCAGCAGCCGCGGUAAUACGGAGGGUGCAAGCGUUGUCCGGAUUUAUUGGGUUUAAAGGGUCCGUAGGCGGAAUUGUAAGUCAGUGGUGAAAGCCCACAGCUCAACUGUGGAACUGCCAUUGAUACUGCUUUUCUUGAAUAUAGUUGAAGUGAACGGAAUGUAACAUGUAGCGGUGAAAUGCAUAGAUAUGUUACAGAACACCAAUUGCGAAGGCAGUUCACUAAGCUAUUAUUGACGCUAAGGGACGAAAGCGUGGGUAGCGAACAGGAUUAGAUA
rnacentral:rRNA from 1 species